GGUCGUUGCAGGGCGCGGCGCGCAGACACAAUUCUGUAAUUGCCAAGGACAUCACAGGUACCUGGGACAUGGUGACUUAGCCUGGUAAUUAACCGACCUGUUCGCUGUGGCACCUCAAGUAAGGUUUUGGCUGACACUCUUACACCUGUUCAGCACGCCUAGGGUUCUGUGGCAUUUGUAAAAUGUUGAUGGCCAAGCAUGAUACCUCAUGCCUGAGACGCCAGCUCUCAGGAGGCCCCCGGCAAGUUCAAGGCCAGCUUGCUCUACAUGAUCCAAAGAAGCGUCUUUCUCUGAUUCCUUUUAUCUGGAAGAACUGAGAGGAGACGGGCGAACGGUUGUGAGAAUCUCUUUAAGGGGCAGUCCUGGAAUGAGUGAAGUGCACCGCUGACUCCUGGCCGCCUGUCUCUCCUAUGGCCUGGCAUCUUCACAGAUGCAGAUUUUGAAAAUGCAUUUCUCCUUUAUCUGAGAGCCCCUCCUGCCCCCUCCUCCAGGACCGACACACUAUGCGUGGAACCUGUGAUGCUAGGCCAUCCUUCCUAUGGUUUGACAUAUUGUCUCACCAGUAAAGGGUAGAGCUGGAACCCACCAUGAAAUCCUGGCCCAGCAAAAUACGUGCCCUAGAGAAGAAGGACCACAAACUCAAGGUCACCUGGGGCUACAUACUUAAGAUCCAGUCUCAAAACUCCAAAUCAAA
rnacentral:lncRNA from 1 species